CGAGCUGGAACACACUGUCUCCUUUCUUGUACAGACAGCCGGCGACUGCCUUUCGAGCGGCCAACACUUUCCACGAUCAAGAACGUACAGAGAUGGCAGAACGAAAUGAGUACGAUACUCGAUGGAUAUCAGGUAGAUUAUGCUCAGUGAGCCCCAGCGGUCAGCGGCGGCGGCAGCUGGUCUAUCCCAAAAAGGCCGCAGAGCCAGUGGCAUGGGCUGCCCGAGAAAAUCACCCGCUUCUCCGACAUAACCUAAACAGGGCCGACCAUGGAAACUCUACGGGCCCCAUAGCUAAAGGUCUCUAUCCCACCGCCUGUCAUCAAGCCCCUGGACGUCUUCGAUCUCGGCGAAAGACAGAAGAAAGGAGUUGCCUCAGUACCAGCAUUCGCCAGAGCUGGCGUAGAUCGCCAUGCCCCUGCCUCUUCCCCCUUCAUUCGAUUUUCUACACACAGUGGGCAAAAAGAGUUCAGGGUCCGCAUGCUGAAAUUUAUCUCCGCUGCAAGGCGAACGUAUUUGUUUCGCGGAAGUAUAGCCGUUUGGGGUUCGUAGGUACGCUGGUGGCUGUGAGGCAAGCAACGUUUUUCCAAGUGGGAGGGAACUGUCGAGAACGCGUGGCAUUUUUGUGUGCUUCCGUGAUUGGUGCUACGGCACUUCAAACGUGAGGCCAAGCCGAGAAUCAAUCCUGAGCGUCGCGAC
rnacentral:lncRNA from 1 species